rnacentral:rRNA from 1 species
UACGGAGGGGGCUAGCGUUGUUCGGAAUUACUGGGCGUAAAGCGCACGUAGGCGGAUCUUUAAGUCAGGGGUGAAAUCCCAAGGCUCAACCUUGGAACUGCCUUUGAUACUGGGGAUCUCGAGUCCGGAAGAGGUGAGUGGAACUGCGAGUGUAGAGGUGAAAUUCGUAGAUAUUCGCAAGAACACCAGUGGCGAAGGCGGACUCACUGGUCCGGUACUGACGCUGAGGUGCGAAAGCGUGGGGAGCAACAGG